GUAAUAUAUAGAUAACGUGCCUCUUAGUCUGGGAUAGCCAUUGGAAACGAUGAUUAAUACCGGAUACUCCUUCUAACUCUAAUGUUAGUCGGGAAAGUUUUUCGCUAAGAGAUCGGUCUAUAUCCCAUCAGUUAGUUGGUAAGGUAACGGCUUACCAAGGCAAUGACGGGUAGCGGGUUUGAGAGGAUGAUCCGCCACACUGGUACUGAGACACGGACCAGACUCCUACGGGAGGCAGCAGUGAGGAAUAUUGCACAAUGGGGGAAACCCUGAUGCAGCAACGCCGCGUGGAGGAUGACGCAUUUCGGUGUGUAAACUCCUUUUAUGAGUCAAGAAAAUGACGGUAGCUCAUGAAUAAGCACCGGCUAACUCCGUGCCAGCAGCCGCGGUAAUACGGAGGGUGCAAGCGUUACUCGGAAUCACUGGGCGUAAAGGACGCGUAGGCGGGAUGCCAAGUCUGAUGUGAAAUCCUAUGGCUUAACCAUAGAACUGCAUUGGAAACUGGUAACCUAGAGUAUGGGAGGGGGAGAUGGAAUUAGUGGUGUAGGGGUAAAAUCCGUAGAUAUCACUAGGAAUACCGAAAGCGAAGGCGAUCUCCUGGAACAUAACUGACGCUAAGGCGUGAAAGCGUGGGGAGCAAACGGGAUUAGAUACCCCGGUAGUCCACGCCCUAAACGAUGAACACUAGUCGUCGCUCUGCUUGUCAGGGCGGUGAUGCACUUAACAGAUUAAGUGUUCCGCCUGGGGAGUACGGUCGCAAGAUUAAAACUCAAAGGAAUAGACGGGGACCCGCACAAGUGGUGGAGCAUGUGGUUUAAUUCGAAGAUACGCGAAGAACCUUACCUAGCCUUGACAUUGAUAGAAUACCCUAGAGAUAGAGUAGUGCCUUUCGGGGAACUUGAAAACAGGUGCUGCACGGCUGUCGUCAGCUCGUGUCGUGAGAUGUUGGGCUAAGUCCCGCAACGAGCGC
rnacentral:rRNA from 1 species